UCUUGUGCGACGCGGCUAAAAGGAAGGC
rnacentral:sRNA from 1 species